CAGGCACAUAAUAGGUGCUCAGUAAGUAUUUGUUGGUUGAAUAAAUAAAGUACAUACCUUGCACCUGAAGAACCUG
rnacentral:miRNA from 1 species